UAGGGAAUAUUGCGCAAUGGGCGAAAGCCUGACGCAGCAACGCCGCGUGAGUGAGGAAGGUCUUCGGAUUGUAAAGCUCUGUCGGAAGGGAAAAACGGCGUGUGGUCGAACAGGCCAUACGAGUGAUGGUACCUUCAAAGGAAGCACCGGCUAACUUCGUGCCAGCAGCCGCGGUAAUACGAAGGGUGCAAGCGUUGUUCGGAUUUAUUGGGCGUAAAGCGCGCGCAGGCGGAUGACUAAGUCAGAUGUGAAAUCUCGGGGCUUAACCCCGAAACUGCGUCUGAAACUAUUUGUCUAGAAUGUUGGAGAGGGAAGGGGAAUUUCGCAUGUAGGGGUAAAAUCCGUAGAUAUGCGAAGGAACACCAGAGGCGAGAGCGCCUUCCUGGACAACUAUUGACGCUGAGGCGCGAAAGCGUGGGGAGCAAACAGG
rnacentral:rRNA from 1 species